UUUAAGCAUGUAGGCUGGUUAUCCAGGCAAAUCCGGAUAAUCAAGGCUGAGGUGUGAUGACGAGGCACUACGGUGCUGAAGUAACAAAUGCCCUGCUUCCAGGAAAAGCCUCUAAGCAUCAGGUAACAUCAAAUCGUACCCCAAACCGACACAGGUGGUCAGGUAGAGAAUACCAAGGCGCUUGAGAGAACUCGGGUGAAGGAACUAGGCAAAAUGGUGCCGUAACUUCGGGAGAAGGCACGCUGGUGUGUAGGUGAAGCCCCUGCGGGUGGAGCUGAGACCAGUCGAA
rnacentral:rRNA from 1 species